UGGGGAAUUUUGCACAAUGGGGGAAACCCUGAUGCAGCGACGCCGCGUGAUUUAGAAGGCCUUCGGGUUGUAAAAAUCUUUUCUAUGGGAAGAAAAUGACAGUACCAUAGGAAUAAGGACCGGCUAAUUACGUGCCAGCAGCCGCGGUAAUACGUAAGGUCCGAGCGUUGUCCGGAAUCAUUGGGCGUAAAGGGUACGUAGGCGGGUAAGCAAGUUAGAAGUGAAAUCCUAUAGCUCAACUAUAGUAAGCUUUUAAAACUGCUCAUCUUGAGGUAUGGAAGGGAAAGUGGAAUUCCUAGUGUAGCGGUUAAAUGCGCAGAUAUUAGGAGGAAUACCGGUGGCGAAGGCGACUUUCUGGCCAUAACCUGACGCUGAGGUACGAAAGCGUGGGUAGCAAACAGG
rnacentral:rRNA from 1 species